AGGGUGAUAGAUUGCACCACCACCUCCAAAUGAUGCACCUGUACCAUUAGCUCCACCACCACGACCCCUAUCACCAUCAAAAUCACCUGAAGAACUAGCAAACAAUAACCUAGCUCCAAUGCAACGAGGAAAGAGGGUGAAAAUGGUGAGGGAUCGCACACCACCUCUUCCAAAUGAUGCACCUGUACCACCAACUCCACCACCACCACUACCAUCACCAUCACCUGAAGAACUAGUAAAUAAUAACCUAGCUCCAAUGCAACGAGGAAAGAGGGUGAAAAUGGUAAGGGAUCGUACACCUCCUCCUCCAAAUGAUGCACUUGUACCACUAGCUCCACCACCACCACC